rnacentral:misc_RNA from 1 species
GAUGAAGAACGUAGCGAAAUGCGAUACGUAAUGUGAAUUGCAGAAUUCAGUGAAUCAUCGAAUCUUUGAACGCAUAUUGCGCUCUCUGGUAUUCCGGAGAGCAUGCUUGUUUGAGUAUCAGUAAACACCUCAACUCCCUUUUCUUUUUUGAAAUUGGAGCUGGACUUGAGUGAUCCCAACGCUUUCUUCCAAGAAAGAGGCGGGUUGCUUGAAAUGCAGGUGCAGCUGAACUUUUCUCUGAGCUAUAAGCAUAUCUAUUUAGUCUGCCUAAAAAACAGAUUAUUACCUUUGCUGCAGCUAACAUAAAGGAGACUAGUUCUUGUGCUGACUGAUGCAGGAUUCACAGAGACAGCUUCGGCUGACUUUGUAAACUCGAUCUCAAAUCAAGUAAGACUACCCGCUGAACUUAAGCAUAUCAAUAAGCGGAGGA